AGAGUUUGAUCCUGGCUCAGGACGAACGCUGGCGGCGUGCCUAACACAUGCAAGUCGAACGGAAGUUAGUGCUUCGGUAUUAACUUUAGUGGCGAACGGGUGAGUAACGCGUGAGGAACCUGCCUUUCAGUGGGGGACAACAGUUGGAAACGACUGCUAAUACCGCAUAAUGUUAUCUGGUGGCAUCACUGGGUGACCAAAGAUUUAUUGCUGAAAGAUGGCCUCGCGUCUGAUUAGCUAGUUGGUGGGGUAACGGCUCACCAAGGCGACGAUCAGUAGCCGGUCUGAGAGGAUGAACGGCCACAUUGGGACUGAGAUACGGCCCAGACUCCUACGGGAGGCAGCAGUGGGGAAUAUUGGGCAAUGGGCGAAAGCCUGACCCAGCAACGCCGCGUGAAGGAAGAAGGCCUUCGGGUUGUAAACUUCUUUUAGCAGGGGCGAAUAAAUGACGGUACCUGCAGAAAAAGCAACGGCUAACUACGUGCCAGCAGCCGCGGUAAUACGUAGGUUGCAAGCGUUGUCCGGAUUUACUGGGUGUAAAGGGCGUGUAGGCGGAGAUGCAAGUUGGGAGUGAAAUCCCGGGGCUCAACCCCGGAACUGCUUUCAAAACUGCAUCCCUUGAGUAUCGGAGAGGCAAGCGGAAUUCCUAGUGUAGCGGUGAAAUGCGUAGAUAUUAGGAGGAACACCAGUGGCGAAGGCGGCUUGCUGGACGACAACUGACGCUGAGGCGCGAAAGCGUGGGGAGCAAACAGGAUUAGAUACCCUGGUAGUCCACGCUGUAAACGAUGAAUACUAGGUGUGGGGAGACUGACCCCUCCCUGCCCCAUUUACACAAUAAGUAUUCCCACCUGGGGAGUACGACCGCAAGGUUGAAACUCAAAGGAAUUGACCGGGGGCCCCGCACAAGCAGUGGUUUAUGUGGUUAAUUUCGACGCAACGCGAAGAACCUUACCAGGAUUUGACAUCCUACUAACGAAGCAGAGAUGCAUUAGGUGCCCUUCGGGGAAAGUAGAGACAGGUGGUGCAUGGUUGUCGUCAGCUCGUGUCGUGAGAUGUUGGGUUAAGUCCCGCAACGAGCGCAACCCCUAUUGUUAGUUGCUACGCAAGAGCACUCUAGCGAGACUGCCGUUGACAAAACGGAGGAAGGCGGGGACGACGUCAAAUCAUCAUGCCCCUUAUGUCCUGGGCUACACACGUAAUACAAUGGCGAUCAACAGAGGGAAGCAAGACAGUGAUGUGGAGCAAAUCCCUAAAAAUCGUCUCAGUUCGGAUUGCAGGCUGCAACUCGCCUGCAUGAAGCUGGAAUUGCUAGUAAUCGCGGAUCAGCAUGCCGCGGUGAAUACGUUCCCGGGCCUUGCACUCACCGCCCGUCA
rnacentral:rRNA from 1 species